rnacentral:pre_miRNA from 1 species
UAGCCCUUGCCCUUUUCUGUCUUAGAAUUGUUACUAAGACAGAAAGUAAGGGUUUGCU